AAUGAACGCUGGCGGCAGGCUUAACACAUGCAAGUCGAGCGCCCCGCAAGGGGAGCGGCAGACGGGUGAGUAACGCGUGGGAACGUACCCUUUGCUACGGAAUAGCUCCGGGAAACUGGAAUUAAUACCGUAUGUGCCCUACGGGGGAAAGAUUUAUCGGCAAAGGAUCGGCCCGCGUUGGAUUAGCUAGUUGGUGGGGUAAUGGCCUACCAAGGCGACGAUCCAUAGCUGGUCUGAGAGGAUGAUCAGCCACAUUGGGACUGAGACACGGCCCAAACUCCUACGGGAGGCAGCAGUGGGGAAUAUUGGACAAUGGGCGCAAGCCUGAUCCAGCCAUGCCGCGUGAGUGAUGAAGGCCUUAGGGUUGUAAAGCUCUUUCACCGGAGAAGAUAAUGACGGUAACCGUAGAAGAAGCCCCGGCUAACUUCGUGCCAGCAGCCGCAGUAAAAC
rnacentral:rRNA from 1 species